rnacentral:lncRNA from 1 species
GUGGAAGCUGGCUGAAGGAGGAGACUAAAUAGCACCAGUAGCAGGACACCUAAUGGACCUGAAGAGGUCUUCGGCUUCUAUUCAGGACUCUUACAGCAAAAUACGGCACAGGUCUCAGAGGCAAGACAAGGGAAGUACACAGACACCUCAGCAGUGCUGCCUGGAAAGACGUCACAAAUGGACAUCAGCUGGGAUUGCUGGGAUUGGAUUGAGGACAACCCCACCCCCUUAACAAUGCUUCUCCUGACUCACCCCCAGCAUUCAAAGACAUUUAAUAACCAGCUGUCUCUGUCAGACCAACAGAGACAAGGAAAAGGACAGGAAGAGGAAAUGAAACUUGUUAAAUUAAAGGAGCAAUGAUGGAGAAAAAACAAAGUGCAGCUAUCUCGAUUUGUUCUCACCCAGCAUUCACCUUGGGAAGGUGGAGAGUGAUAUGCAUCUCAAGGUUGAAUUGAGAUCUUCAUCUGGGGCAGCCACAGGCUCCUCUUCACUGUAGAAGUUGGUCUGAUGUCCUCGUUUUUUGAUGGCCUUGAGACCUCUGUGGUGCACUGGUUAGGAUUUUUUAGGCUACUGCAAAGAUGGGAUUCCUGAAGAGGCUUUCUAAUGCUCUAAUGCUGUGGGUGAUUGAUGAAACAUCCUUGAAGUUAAGUGCAUUUUUAUCCCAUUGUGUCAAGGAUCAUAUUGUCAACAUGACUUACAACUACCUAGCCUUAACCUUGGUCAUUGGCUGAGCAGUAGGUGACAGUCUUCCCUACAACUAUGUCUUCCUCUCUCCAAUUUCCAUACCACAAAACUUGAGAAGAAGUCACUCUGCUUAUAUCAGGAUUUUGCUUCCUUUCUUUGGGGGAGUAGAGUAAUCUAUCCCCAUGCAUUAUUUGGAAUUGAGAAUUUUUUCAUCUGUGCUUAUCAAGAUUGGUCUGUGUCAGAGGUUUCUCCAAACGGAGGCCUAGAGUGGCCAUUGUGUGAAACUGUGAAGUUAAAGCUUGGCUUGUCCUGGAGACCCCAAGAUGUGGGAGAUGCCAGAGUCAUGGGAUAUCUGCCAAGGAGAGCUGCUAACAGGAAGUGGAACCAGCCCAAGAGAAAGAAGUGUGUUGCGGUCAACAAAGCUGAAUGGAGCUGGCGAUAUGAAGAAUGUUUUGACAUUACACACAGAGAUGCAAAGUUUGGAGUUUGCUCACCUGAUUUUCGUUCUUGCUUUGGUCCAGUAUUUCCUCACUAUGUUCCCUUCCAUAUGUUUUGGAAUGGUUAUGUAUAUCUUGUGCUAUUAAAUAUUGAAAUUAUGUGAUGUGCUUUUUUAGUUUUAAUAUUAUAUGUGAUUACAGUUAAGAAAUUGCAUGAAUCUCAAAGCAUUGGGCUUUUAUACAUUGUUGAAACUGUGAUAGACUUUGGGGAUUUUUGAAGUUGGACUGAAUGCAUUUUAUGAAAUGGCUACAAGCCUUUGGGGGCAGAGAGUAGAAUGUGGCCGUUUGAAAGAGAACAGUCCCCAAAGGGACUGCUAUCAUUA